UACGUAGGGGGCAAGCGUUAUCCGGAUUUACUGGGUGUAAAGGGAGCGUAGACGGCACGGCAAGCCAGAUGUGAAAGCCCGGGGCUCAACCCCGGGACUGCAUUUGGAACUGCUGAGCUAGAGUGUCGGAGAGGCAAGUGGAAUUCCUGGUGUAGCGGUGAAAUGCGUAGAUAUUAGGAGGAACACCAGUGGCGAAGGCGGCUUGCUGGACGAUGACUGACGUUGAGGCUCGAAAGCGUGGGGAGCAAACAGG
rnacentral:rRNA from 1 species